rnacentral:rRNA from 1 species
CUACCCUUGACAUGUACGGAAUCCUGAAGAGAUUUGGGAGUGCUCGAAAGAGAGCCGUAACACAGGUGCUGCAUGGCUGUCGUCAGCUCGUGUCGUGAGAUGUUGGGUUAAGUCCCGCAACGAGCGCAACCCUUGUCAUUAGUUGCUACGAAAGGGCACUUCUAAUGAGACUGCCGGUGACAAACCGGGGGAAGGUGGGGAUGACGUCAAGUCCUCAUGGCCCUUAUGGGUAGGGCUUCACACGUCAUACAAUGGUACAUACAGAGGGCCGCCAACCCGCGAGGGGGAGCUAAUCCCAGAAAGUGUAUCGUAGUCCGGAUUGGAGUCUACAACUCGACUCCAUGAAGUUGGAAUCGCUAGUAAUCGCGGAUCAGC